AGUCUAAGGUUUCCUGGGGAAGGUUCGUCCGCCCAGGGUAAGUCGGGACCUAAGGAGAGGCCGAAAGGCGUAUCUGAUGGACAGCAGGUAGAAAUUCCUGCACCACCGAUAUACUUAAAAAAUGCAAGGGACACAGUAGUGGAAGGAAAGCGAGGAAGAGGAAAGACUCGUAUCGAAAGAUAUAGUGAAAAAAUAAGUAACGAAUUUCCAAGAAGCACACUGGCGAGAAAAGCUUGUAGGAAUUGUAUAAAGGUGCCCGUACCGCAAACCGACACAGGUAGAUGAGGAGAGGAUCCUAAGAUGAGCGAGAGAAGCAUUGUUAAGGAACUCGGCAAAUUGACCCCGUAACUUAGGGAGAAGGGGUGCCAAAGUAAAAUUUGGUCGCAGAGAAGAGGCCCAAGCAACUGUUUAACAAAAACACAGGUUUCUGCUAAAUCGAAAGAUGAAGUAUAGGAGCUGACGCCUGCCCAGUGCUGGAAGGUUAAGGGGAAGAGUUAGAUGUAAGUCGAAGCUUAGAACCAAAGCCCCAGUGAACGGCGGCCGUAACUAUAACGGUCCUAAGGUAGCGAAAUUCCUUGUCAGGUAAGUUCUGACCCGCACGAAAGGCGUAAUGAUUUGGGCGCUGUCUCGACAAUGUACUCGGCGAAAUUGUAGUACUAGUGAAGAUGCUAGUUACCUGCGACAAGACAGAAAGACCCCAUGGAGCUUUACUGUAGCUUGAUACUGGGUUUCGAUAAUUUAUGUACAGGAUAGGUGGGAGGCGAAGAAGCAAUUGCGCCAGCAGUUGUGGAGUCAUCCUUGGGAUACCACCCUUAAGUUAUUGAAAUUCUAACCUGUAGUCCUGAGCGGGCUAGGGGACAAUGUCAGGCGGGCAGUUUGACUGGGGCGGUCGCCUCCAAAAGAGUAACGGAGGCGCGCAAAGGUUUCCUCAGCGCGGACAGAAAUCGCGCGAAAGAGUGCAAAGGCAGAAGGAAGCUUAACUGAGAGACUGACAAGUCGACCAGAUACGAAAGUAGGUCUUAGUGAUCCGGCGGUAGUGAGUGGAAAUGCCGUCGCUCAACGGACAAAAGUUACCCUGGGGAUAACAGGCUUAUCUCCCCCAAGAGUUCACAUCGACGGGGAGGUUUGGCACCUCGAUGUCGGCUCAUCACAUCCUGGAGCGGAAGUACGUUCCAAGGGUUGGGCUGUUCGCCCAUUAAAGUGGUACGCGAGCUGGGUUCAGAACGUCGUGAGACAGUUCGGUCCUUAUCUGUCGCAGGCGAAGGAUAUUUGAGGGGAGUUGACCUUAGUACGAGAGGACCAGGUUGAACUUACCAAUGGUGUAUCAGUUGUCGUACCAACGGCACGGCUGAGUAGCUAAGUAGGGAAGGGAUAAACGCUGAAAGCAUCUAAGUGUGAAGCCCACCCCAAGAUAAGAUAUCCCAUACCGUAAGGUAGUAAGAUUCCACGUAGACUAUGUGGUAGAUAGGUUGGAGGUGUAAGUGCAGUAAUGCAUUAAGCUGACCAAUACUAAUAAAUCGAGGGCUUAACCA
rnacentral:rRNA from 1 species